UACGUAGGGUGCAAGCGUUGUCCGGAAUUACUGGGCGUAAAGAGCGUGUAGGCGGCUUUACAGGUCCGUUGUGAAAACUCGAGGCUCAACCUCGAGACGCCGGUGGAAACCGUAAAGCUAGAGUCCGGAAGAGGAGAGUGGAAUUCCUGGUGUAGCGGUGAAAUGCGCAGAUAUCAGGAAGAACACCAAUGGCGAAAGCAGCUCUCUGGGACGGUACUGACGCUGAGACGCGAAAGCGUGGGGAGCGAACAGG
rnacentral:rRNA from 1 species